AGCAGUAGCCACGGGAAUACGUAGGUGGCGAGCGUUGUCCGGAAUCAUUGGGCGUAAAGGGAGCGCAGGCGGGCAAGUAAGUCUUUCUUAAAAGUUCGGGGCUCAACCCCGUGAUGGGAAAGAAACUACAUGUCUUGAGUACAGGAGAGGAAAGCGGAAUUCCCAGUGUAGCGGUGAAAUGCGUAGAUAUUGGGAGGAACACCAGUGGCGAAGGCGGCUUUCUGGACUGCAACUGACGCUGAGGCUCGAAAGCGUGGGGAGCAAACAGGAUUAGAUACCCGCGUAGUCCCUGUCUCUUAUACA
rnacentral:rRNA from 1 species